rnacentral:rRNA from 1 species
UACAGAGGGUGCGAGCGUUAAUCGGAAUUACUGGGCGUAAAGCGUGCGUAGACGGUUUCGUAAGUCGGGUGUGAAAGCCCCGGGCUCAACCUGGGAAUUGCAUUCGAGACUGCGUAGCUAGGGUGCGGAAGAGGGAAGCGGAAUUUCCGGUGUAGCGGUGAAAUGCGCAGAUAUCAGGAAGAACACCCGUGGCUAAGGCGGCUCUCUAGUACGGUACUGACGCUGAGACGCGAAAGCGUGGGGAGCGAACAGG